GAUGAAGAACGUAGCGAAAUGCGAUAAGUAAUGUGAAUUGCAGAAUUCAGUGAAUCAUCGAAUCUUUGAACGCACAUUGCGCCCGCCAGUAUUCUGGCGGGCAUGCCUGUUCGAGCGUCAUUUCAACCCUCAAGCCCAGCUUGGUGUUGGGGAUCGGCACAGGCGCCCUCGGGCGCCCGCCGUCCCCUAAAUCUAGUGGCGGUCCCGCUGCAGCCUCCUCUGCGUAGUAGUUUUCUCCUCGCAAGGGCAGCUCGGUGGCGACCUCGCCGUAAAACCCCCAACUUCUGAAAGGUUGACCUCGAAUCAGGUAGGAAUACCCGCUGAACUUAAGCAUAUCAAUAAGCGGA
rnacentral:misc_RNA from 1 species